GGAAGGGUAGCCAAGCCAGGUCAAAGGCGCCAGGUUCAGGGCCUGGUCCCGUAGUGGGUUCGUGGGUUCAAAUCCCACCCCUUCCA
rnacentral:tRNA from 1 species